rnacentral:rRNA from 1 species
UACGGAGGGUGCGAGCGUUAAUCGGAAUUACUGGGCGUAAAGGGUGCGUAGGUGGUAUGGUAAGUUAUCUGUGAAAUUCCUGGGCUUAACCUGGGACGGUCAGAUGAUACUGCUGUACUCGAGUAUGGGAGAGGGUAGUGGAAUUUCCGGUGUAGCGGUGAAAUGCGUAGAGAUCGGAAGGAACACCAGUGGCGAAGGCAGCACUCUGGGCUGGUAUUGACGCUGAGGAGCGAAAGCAUGGGUAGCGAACAGG